rnacentral:lncRNA from 1 species
CAGCUGCAUCAGACUGUGCCCUGUGUCCUGUUGGCAUGUCCCCAUGCUUCGUCCCUGGAGUGAACUACAACCUGGGACUUCCAGAGGCGGCUAUGGUUAGGCAGGGAGCAGCCAGUGUUCUGGAGUAGACCCAGACAUAAACCUAAUUCUUGAUUUGAGAACAGUGGCUCCUCUGAACUGGCUUGAUAAUGUGUUACCAGCCGGGGCGAGUCAGCCAUAGAGGGGCCUGGCAAUCCUUCUGCCCUGCAGAUUCUUUGACUCCUUCUUUUCUUUCUGUUGCUUUUGUUUGCCUAGUUGAGACAGGACCUCACUAUGAAGCCCAGGCUAGGCUUGAGUGAGAUCCCUCUGCCUCAGCCCUGCAGGGUGCUGGAUCCGGGAAUGUGCAGGCUCCUUACUGUUUGGAAGGAGGAAUUCUGCAGGGCUCAGAGCCGCAGGUGUUCCAUCCACCCUUCAGCUGCACUUCCUGUGGAUGAGACCCAGAGAAAUGGGAAGAUCAACUGGGCAGCAAGUGACAAUCACCUACUGAAUGUCACUGCUCCUCGAGUCACCAGAACAGACCGUUGUAUGAAUAAGAAUGACGUCUGCGAGCACCCGCCGUGCUCCACUGAUUGUAUGGGAUGCUCCUGGGAUUGGGCCAAGAGGUUCAACUCCAGCACCAGAGGGAGUAGGAUGCCAGGAGAGGCCAGCUUUGCAAACUCCCAACCCCCCGGGUUCUCAGUGGCAGAAGACUGAGUGUACAGGGACCAAGGUGGCUUGUGGUUGAGCUGAGACCACUGCACUUGGAGCAUCUGUAGCUCCAGACCCCUUCGCUUUCCUGACUCUACGGAUGAGGUGAUUCACGCUUGCUUCCUAUUCUGUCUUCAUGGAGUCAAGGAUGCUCUUAGCACCCGUAUUAGUCUAUUCUGGCUCUGAGAAGAGCAUGCUGUAGACUGGGUGGCUUCUAAACAACAGACCUUGAUCUCUUGGCUGUGAAGGCUGACAAGUUCAAGAUCAAGAGAUUCAGUGUCUCACAAAGGCCAGCUUCCGAUGACUUCUUCUCAUUGUGUCCUCCCAUGCCCGAGGGACGGAGUCUUCGGGUCUCAUUCACAAGGGCACUAUCCCCAGGGUCUAGCCAGCUCCCAAAGGUCUGCUUCCUGAUCCUAUCACACCAUGGACCAGGAUUGCAACCUUUGAUUGGAGGGUGGGGCAUAAAUAUCCAGUCACUGACAACACCCUUCCAGAGCCCUUAGGAUUCAAAAUGAUAAGUGAAUUCUCCAUUCUGGAACUGACACCACCUUCUGGAAAGAAAUAUACAGAAAGAGAAAGUAUACUAGUGUCAAGAAGAGAACGUCCCUGCUUUCCCAAAGAUAUACAAGUGGCCAUCUCAGCGGCUCUAGAUUCUAGAUCAUAGCACAGUGGAUAUGUUUGCUUAUAAAGAUAUUUUGAUCUUUUAGUUUAUGACUCAAAUGGAUUGCCAGAGUGGGGAUGAGGAGACCAAAAACAUAUCUAAGGCUCUUAGAACAUCUUUUCAAAUUGCCUUCCAAAUGGGUCAGAUUAAUUUUCAUCUUAUUCGGGAUCGGUACUGGCUGGUUUUGUGUGUCAACUUGACACAAGCUGGAGUUAUCACAGAGAAAGGAGCCUCCCCUGAGGAAAUGCCUUCAUGAGAUCCAGCUGUAGGGCAUUUUCUCAAUUAGUGAUGGGGGGGGGGGCGGGAAGGACCCCUGGUGGGUGGUGCCAUCCCUGGGCUGGUAGUGCUGGGUUCUAUAAGCAAGCAAGCUGAGCAAGCCAGGGGAAGCAAGCCAGUAAGUAACAUUCCUCCAUGGUCUCUGCAUCAGCUCCUGCUUCCUGACCUGCUUGAGUUCCUGUUCUGACUUCCCUUGGUGAUGAACAGCAGUGUGGAAGUGUAAGCUGAAUAAACCUUUUCCUCCCCAA